GUAAAAAAUAACAAUAACUCUACGAUUUGGAUGACUAUCGUCCCGAUAACUGAUAGCAAUAGCCCGAUAACUGAUAACCGAUUAGCGAUAACCGAUAACCGAUUACCGAUAACAGUCAUCAGUUGUGUCUGAAACUGGACAGCCAAUCAAGAUCAAGUUCUGGAUCCCCGCCCACUCGUACACCCGUCAGUCAAUCAGUCAAUCAAUCGAUCAAUCAAUCAGCCAAUCAAUCGAUGAACUGGAAACCGCCAACCGAUAAAGCCACCCGAUAGUCGGAUCCAAUUAAAUCUAUAACUCUUUUUUGGCCCAAUUGACACCAAAACUAAAAAUAAAAAAAAUUAAAAAAUAAAAUACAAACUCAAAACUUAAACCGUUAAACCAGAGACACGUUCGAACAAGUUAAAAAAUUAUACUAAAAAAAAA
rnacentral:sRNA from 1 species